rnacentral:lncRNA from 1 species
AUACGAAACCGAAUCGAUUCGAAUAAGACGAUUUGAUUUGGUUUUCUUAAUUUUUAUACAAUAUUUUUUUAAAAAAAUUAUCGAAUUUGGUUUGUGAUUUUGAUUUGGUUUUCAGAUGUUAGCAAAUCGAAUUCGAAGGAAACUUGUAUUUUAUGUGUCUAUGUAGUUAUUAUGCGCAUGCAUUUUGAUCCAUAAAUUUUAAAUUUUUUGUAAUUGCAAUCAGUCUCGCACUCUAAUUUAGAUGACCAAAUAUUGACGAGUGUAACAGUAUUAUAAUUAAUAAUGCAACAAUAAUUAAAAUAUCACAUAACUGUCGCAUUAGCGACAUAUCUGCACUUGUUCAAAUAAAUUGGACCGUCGACUUAAUUAUGAUAAUUUAUAAAAUCCAAUGUAGAAAAAAUAAUAAAUUAAAAUUUGUGGACCAAACUGUCACAUGCUUCAUACUUUGAGGAUCAAAAGUGUAAUUGCAUUGUCAUUUUGCUUCAUUAUUAGAGUUUACUAACUAAUUUUUUUUUUUUUAUAAAAAAAGUGAACUAAACUGAAUUAUGGAGAUAAAUCAAACCGAUCCGAACUAAAAUAAUUUGUUUUAAUUUUUUGGAGUUUUUUUCACCAAAUAAACAAAAGGAGAGCUAAAUUGAAUUACACCGACGAAUCGAACCGAACCAAACUAAAAUAAUUUGACUCAAACUUUAAAUCAAACUUACACCAGUUGAAACUUUUAUUUACCUUGGGCUGUUAAUGGGCUGGACUUUUUGCGAUUUCGCAAGGCCGGGCUCAAUUCAGAAAGAUCCGGCCCGGCCCGAACUUUUUUUUUAAAAAAAGGUGCUCUAAUUUUUUUUAAAAAUAUACUUUUCCUGUGAAUCAAACACACCGGAAAAAAAAAUUUCAGCCUAAAACAAAAAGGAUCUAAGUUGCCUGAACCUUUCUCACAGUUAAAAGUCCCAAAAUAUUUAUUAUUAUUUAUGAUCAAGUCCUUUUGUUUAAAAAUAAAUAUUUUUAAGCCCCAUGAAAAGCCCUGGAUCUUUUAUUUCGGGCCCGAUACGAAAUCAGGCCCGAUCAAUCACGGCCCAAUAGUACAACAUCAGCAAUGAGUUUGCUAAAAAAAAGAAAAACUUUCAUACUAGAGCCAAUUAUAUAUGGAUCGGUUAAACUCGAUCCUUAUUCUUUUGCAUAACAAUUAUCAUGCACCAUAGUAAACUCAAUUUAAUGGGCAUUAUGCGCAAAUCGGUGUAGCGAAAAGCAUAAGCUUUUUUUCCAUUCGGCUUGUUAAUCCUGGAGCCUCAGUCAUAUCCAGCUCCCCUUCUUUCGUCGCGCCACGGGCCAACUCCCACUCGAACCCAUACACGAGAUUAGCCAACGCGAGCUCGACUGUGGACAUUGCAAAUUGCAUGCCAGGGCAACCUCUCCGACCCGCCCCGAAUGGAAUGAACUGGAAAUCAUUACCUCUGAAGUCGAUCGAGCUAUUUAUAAACCUCUCAGGACGAAAUUCGUCGGGUGCGUCCCAAUAUUUUGGGUCUCUACUAAUAGCCCAAUAAUUGAUGGUAACUCUCGUGUUUUUCGGAAUGAAGUAGUCUUUUAUGUAGCAAUCUUUCGUUGAUUCUUUCUGAACCAGUAGUGGAGCUGGAGGGUGCAAUCGUAAGGUUUCUUUGAUCACGGCUUUUAAGUAGGUCAUCGUGUUCAGAUUCUUCUCGCUGAUUGUUUCGCUUUUCGUAGUAACCUCUCUCACCUCAUCCUGUAGCUUUUUCAUGAUGUUGGGAUUUCGAACAAGCUCUGCCAUGGCCCAUUCUAGGACUACGUAUGAUGUAUCUGUUCCUGCAGUAAACAUAUCCUGCGAAAAUUUAUGAAACAUAGAAGAAGAGAGGAUUAGACUUUGUAGAUUCAAAUAA